rnacentral:rRNA from 1 species
UACGGAGGGUGCAAGCGUUAUCCGGAUUUACUGGGUUUAAAGGGUGCGCAGGCGGAUAUGUAAGUCAGUGGUGAAAUCUCCGGGCUUAACCCGGAAACUGCCGUUGAUACUAUAUAUCUUGAAUGCUGUGGAGGUAAGCAGAAUAUGUCAUGUAGCGGUGAAAUGCUUAGAGAUGACAUAGAAUACCUAUUGCGAAGGCAGCUUACUAUGGUUUAAUUGACGCUGAGGCACGAAAGCGUGGGGAUCAAACAGG